GCCAGCUGCCUGCCUCCGGGGCCUGCCCCUUGGGUGGCACCGGGGACCCUUCCCUUGGGGAGCCUGGCUCCAUGGGACAUGGCCGCCCAGGCCGCCUUGCUGGGGCUCAUCUAGGAGUGGCGUUCCUCAUGUCGCCCUGAAGGCCAGCUCUGGACCUCCCCAGGAAAGUGCCACCUUGCAGAGCUGCUCCUCCGGAGCCCCGACCCUUGGGACACCCUCCAGCCGGCGGCCCCCAGUGGAGUGGGGGCUCCAGGAGGCCAGGCCUGGCUUGCUGACCUUGGACAGCAGCUGCAGGACGG
rnacentral:lncRNA from 1 species